rnacentral:antisense_RNA from 1 species
AAUAACCAAAUACAACACUUGGAUUAAGAGUAAGAUUUGUAAUUUUUCUUACAUCUCCACCACCGGGAGCCCACGUAUCGUAUACACCUCCAAAAUACAAAGCUUUGAGCACUGAAAGAAAAGCACCAGCACCUAACAAGAUUAAAUGAAUACCUAAAAUUGUAGUCAUUUUGUUCUUAUCUUUCCA